rnacentral:rRNA from 1 species
GAUUCUGCCUGACGUGGACGCUUGCCUUAAAGAUUAAGCCAUGCAAGCUAGCGAAGGUUGAACCGGAGCGGCGAACGGCUCAGUAGGACAGGAAUAUCUGGCCAUGCAGGAUGGAUAACCGCGGAAACCUGCGGCUAAUACGAGCGUGGAUGAGUUCCUGGCCUAUCAGCUUGGCGGUACGGUAAGUGCGUACCGUGGCGAUUACGGGUAACGGGGAAUCGGGGUUUGAUUCCGGAGAGGGAGCCUGAGAGAUGGCUGCCACGUCUAAGGGCGGCAGCAGGCGCGAAACUUACCCACUUGGAGGACCAGAGGUAGUAACGAGGCGUAAUUUAUGAGGUUAUUCUAAAUAUAUAACCGAAAGCAACUAGAGGGCAAGUCUGGUGCCAGC